rnacentral:pre_miRNA from 1 species
ACCAUGUCGUAGUGUGUGUAAACAUCCUACACUCUCAGCUGUGAGCUCAAGUUGGCUGGGAGAAGGUUGUUUACUCCUUCUGCCAUGGA